AGCUGGUAAAACGGAACCAAAUCGUUCGCAGAUGGGAUUUGGUCCCCUUCAACCAGCUG
rnacentral:pre_miRNA from 1 species